UGUUCAACAUUGCUCAUGUAAUCGUGCGUGCGUUGCUUGUGUGUUGGUUGUGUGUGUUGGUUGUAGGUUCUGUGUUACUUGGCGGAAAGCCGUGAGUAGUGGCGGUGCGGCAAUGCGGCUUUGGCCUCGAUGAGGUCUGGCACUACAGAAUCUGCGUUGUGUGACCCGUGCUUUCUUGAGAACCCGGCGGUGGUGACAAUUGAAAUAUCGAAGUGGUCUAGCGCCUCGGCAGCGAAGUUCUGCGAACCGCGAUGUGGCGUCGCCGUGUCCGACUUUGCUUAACGGACAUCGAGGGAUGUGCUGCUCGCUGCAAGUCAUGCACCUUUUCUACUUGAAGCUUCCAUUGCAGUGUUUUGAACAUCAUUGAACCAGCACAUAGUGUAUAUAAAUAUUGGACACUGAUUGGGAACAUCACCUAAGUUCAUGCCUAUAUAUAGUAAAAAGAUGUAGCACGACCAGACAAAAUAAAAGAAGGGGGUGGGCUGUAGCAAUACUAAGUGUUAAAUGGUGCUUUAUCCUUU